GAGAGUUUGAUCAUGGCUCAGAUUGAACGCUGGCGGCAGGCCUAACACAUGCAAGUCGAGCGGUAACAGGACUAGCUUGCUAGUUGCUGACGAGCGGCGGACGGGUGAGUAACGCGUAGGAAUCUACCAAGUAGUGGGGGAUAAGCCAGAGAAAUUUGGUCUAAUACCGCAUACGUUCUUCGGAAGAAAGGAGGGGAUCUUCGGACCUUUCGCUAUUUGAUGAGCCUGCGUGAGAUUAGCUUGUUGGUGAGGUAAGAGCUCACCAAGGCGACGAUCUCUAGCUGGUCUGAGAGGAUGAUCAGCCACACUGGGACUGAGACACGGCCCAGACUCCUACGGGAGGCAGCAGUGGGGAAUAUUGCACAAUGGGCGCAAGCCUGAUGCAGCCAUGCCGCGUGUGUGAAGAAGGCCCUAGGGUUGUAAAGCACUUUCAGCAGUGAGGAAAGGUGUGUGGUUAAUACCCGCAUACUGUGACGUUAACUGCAGAAGAAGCACCGGCUAACUCCGUGCCAGCAGCCGCGGUAAUACGGAGGGUG
rnacentral:rRNA from 1 species